AUUAUAGGUUGGUGCAAAAGUAAUUGUGGUUUUUGCAAUUAAAAGUAACUGCAAAACCGCAAUUACUUUUGCACCAAACAAAUA
rnacentral:miRNA from 1 species